CUCAUUAAGAAACGCUUCCCUCUCUUUAAUCCACUGCCUAAAGCUGUCUGGUUCAGCUUCUGACAGGACAGAUCUAAACCACCCACUUUGGGAAUGGUUCAACCCUCCAGCAGACUGAACUGGGCUCUCUCUCUGCAAGCUCCCAGGACAGAGCAAUGGCCAGGGGACGUUUCUGUGGAAGAUGAGAACAGUCAGAGGCUGAAGCUUCCAGUGCCUUCUCCCUACACUCUCACCAGGUUGGCUGGGAUUAGUUCCCUGUGGAAUUACGUUUCUGAGGUGUGGAGCCCAGCUUUCUCUGGGACCACAGUCCAACAAACACUUUAAGUGGGGAGGAGCUGGCUUUGCUGCUGGUCUGACUCGGUGUGACUGCAGGGUGAACCACCCCAGGGACCCAGAGGAAGGCUGGAUUCCAUCCAACCACUAUCCCAAGUGCCCUGGACAUCAGGCUGGGACAAAGGAAGGGCCAGCACAGGAAAAGGAAUGAGCCAAAAAGAUCCCAUCACAACAGGAGCACGAAUUCCUGACUUCAACACAUUUGUUCAGAUGGCUGCAGGAAAUGUGACUACAAAGGGAAGGGGAAGGAGGAGGUGUCCACGUCCUAAUGGACACCAGGCUGUGAGCCAGUGGGAAAAAAUGAAGGAAUGUUGGAUUUCUACCCUAAACAUCUCACAGAAAAUGGAGAUGAACUUCACUGAGCUGUGAAAGGGACUGGGUGCAUAUCUGGAAUUCCUUCACACACAAGAUGAGCAGUUGUCCCAUUCAGCCAGUGAAAACAGGGAUCUAAGAGCCCCUUUCCUGCAGACACUGUGCUCAGCACCUGCACACACCCAGCUCCCCCAGCCCCCUCAGAACUGCUGAAUGGAGCUCUCACCUUCUUCAAAGUCAAUACCAGAAACUCUUUCAGGCUGCUCAAGGCUGCUUUCAGACUGGGGUUACAUUUC